UAAGUGUUGGCAAUAGUGGAACCAUGAAUGAGUCAGGACCGGAAGGUAGCAGCUAUAAGUGGUGAAGCUAUGUGCCUUUUUUUGUGCCUUGAU
rnacentral:SRP_RNA from 1 species